GCACGUAGGCGGACAUUUAAGUCAGGGGUGAAAUCCCGGAGCUCAACUCCGGAACUGCCUUUGAUACUGGGUGUCUUGAGUGUGGAAGAGGUGAGUGGAAUUCCGAGUGUAGAGGUGAAAUUCGUAGAUAUUCGGAAGAACACCGGUGGCGAAGGCGGUUCUCUGGGCCUUACCUGACGCUGAGGAGCGAAAGCGUGGGGAGCGAACAGGAUUAGAUACCCUGGUAGUCCACGCUGUAAACGUUGGGCGCUAGGUGUGGGAUCCUUCCACGGAUUCCGUGCCGCAGCUAACGCAUUAAGCGCCCCGCCUGGGGAGUACGGCCGCAAGGCUAAAACUCAAAGGAAUUGACGGGGGCCCGCGCAAGCGGCGGAGCAUGUUGCUUAAUUCGACGCAACGCGAAGAACCUUACCAAGGUUUGACAUGCAGGGAAAAGCCGUAGAGAUAUGGUGUCCGUAAGGGUCCUGCACAGGUGAUGCAUGGCUGUCGUCAGCUCGUGUCGUGAGAUGUUGGGUUAAGUCCCGCAACGAGCGCAACCCUCGUCCUAUGUU
rnacentral:rRNA from 1 species